CAGAAUUGUGGGGAGACUAGCAAGAAAGUAGAGUUUGAGGUGAGCCCAGGGGCUCUCAAGGCAGGAAAUGAAUUUUCAUUAACUCAUCAUGCUACAUCAUUCUUUGUCUUUUAAGAAUUCUCUUGUCAUCUGAAGGACCAUAGUUUAAAAAGGAACUAAGGGAUAAUAGCUACAGGGUAUAUUGGGUGAGGGUUCCUAAAAUUUUGUUCAACUGUCUUAUUCACGAAGCAUCCUUGGGCGAUGGGAUUUGUGAGCUGUGUUAGGCAGAAAGAACAGGAGUAAGAUGUCUCAACUCAAGAUGAUCCAUCCUGAUGCCACAGGAAACACUGUACCACUGACUUCAUGCCACCUUAGGACAGAUGACCUACCUUUUAAAUUCCUAAAGCAAUAUAUUUGCUGAAGAUUAUCUCAAAGGAGAAAGAUGAGAUAGACUCCAAAGGCCAGUGGCUUGAGUUUAGCAUAAGAAAAUUCUGGGGAAAAAAUAGUCCUAAUCAUCAUCCCAGCAGACAACCAAUGCACAUAGUCUAUGUCUGUUCAUGGAAGCUUAGCUGGAACAAGAUCUUCACACAUUUUGGCACUGCCACUAAGGCUCAGAGAUCCUCAUCAAGGGUGGAUAUCUCUUGAUCACUUUAUGGAUUGCCUUCAAGUCUGAGAACUAUCUCAGUUGUGAAAGCAGGACAGCUCAGACUAAACAUGCCUCUUGAGCAUAGACAGAUCUACCAGAAGUAUCUGAAGACAUCCGUGAAAUGAAUUCAUAUGAAUCAGCAAGUCCUUGCAGGAAGAUGUGUGGACCUCAGCUUUACUGGACAGCACAUCCCAGUAAAUGACCUGAGCAAAUAAGGAAAUCAAAGCCACAUCACUUGUACCAGUGUGUCUUCAGACAUGGACCACGCUAACAAUACAAAGAUAAUACAUGCCUGCUCUCCAAAGCCUUUCUCAGUGUCCACAGGCAU